rnacentral:rRNA from 1 species
ACUGGUUGAUCCUGCCAGUAGUCAUAUGCUUGUCUCAGAGAUUAAGCCAUGCAUGUCUAAGUACAUACCUUAAAACGGUGAAACCGCGAAUGGCUCAUUAAAUCAGCUAUGGUUCCUUAGAUCGUAAACGCUACAUGGAUAACUGUAGUAAUUCUAGAGCUAAUACAUGCCUUGAAUCCCUGACCCGCAAGGGGACGGGUGCAUUUAUUAGAACAGAACCAACCGGGUGCGGCUUAUGCUGUGCCUGUUACAUUCUGUGAUGACUCUGGAUAACUUUACUGAUCGCAGUCGGCCUUGUGUGUCGGCGACGGAUCUUUCAAAUGUCUGCCCUAUCAAUUUGUUGGUAGGUGAUUUGCCUACCAUGAUGAUAACGGGUAACGGGGAAUCAGGGUUCGAUUCCGGAGAGGGAGCCUGAGAAAUGGCUACCACAUCCAAGGACGGCAGCAGGCGCGAAAAUUACCCACUCCCAGCACGGGGAGGUAGUGACGAAAAAUACGGAUACGGGACUCAAUUGAGGCUCCGUAAUUCGAAUGAGUACAAUUUAAAUCCUUUAACGAGGACCAAUUGGAGGGCAAGUCUGGUGCCAGCAGCCGCGGUAACUCCAGCUCCAAAAGCGUAUAUUAAAGUUGCUGCAGUUAAAAAGCUCGUAGUUGGAUCUGGGUAGUGCGAUCGCAUGCUGUUGCUUGUUCACGGUCUUGGUUACGAUCAGGGCAGUGGUCAGCUCGGCGUAGUGGUUGUGCAACCUUUCAGCCGUGUCUGUGUUUUAUUAAACAGGUGUCGAUGGGUUAAUGAGUAUUGUAUCUUAUUGACCUGUUGGCAUGCUUCGGAUGCCCUUUAAACGGGUGUCGGGGGCGGACGGCAUCUUAGCUUUGAACAAAUUUGAGUGCUCAAAGCAGGCCUAUGCGCCUGAAAAUUCUUGCAUGGAAUAAUGAAAUAGGACUUCGGGUUCUAUUUUGUUGGUUUUCGGAUUCGAAGUAAUGGUUAAGAGGGACAGACGGGGGGCAUUUGUAUGGCGGUGUUAGAGGUGAAAUUCUGGGAUCGCCGCCAGACAAACUACAGCGAAAGCAUUUGCCAAGAAUGUUUUCAUUGAUCAGGAGCGAAAGUCAGAGUUUCGAAGACGAUCAGAUACCGUCGUAGUUCUGACCAUAAACGAUGCCAACUGACGAUCCGCGUUGGUUCUAUAAUUGACAUCGCGGGCAGUCCCCGGGAAACCUUUAAGUCUUUGGGCUCCGGGGGGAGUAUGGUUGCAAAGCUGAAACUUAAAGGAAUUGACGGAAGGGCACCACCAGGAGUGGAGCCUGCGGUUUAAUUCGACUCAACACGGGAAAACUCACCCGGCCCGGACACUGUGAGGAUUGACAGAUUGAAAGCUCUUUCUUGAUUCGGUGGUUGGUGGUGCAUGGCCGUUCUUAGUUGGUGGAGCGAUUUGUCUGGUUAAUUCCGAUAACGAACGAGACUUUAACCUACUAAAUAGUAGACUGGUCCUCUGUGCUCGUUCAGGGCGCGGCUUCUACUGCUUCUUUAUGGAGUAGUGUGGUCGUGAUCCGACGGGUGCGGU